rnacentral:rRNA from 1 species
CCCUUAGAUGUCCUGGGCCGCACGCGCGCUACACUGACAUGUUCAACAAGCCUCCUAGUUCGACAGGAUUUGGGAAAUCUUUGAACGCAUAUCGUGAUAGGGAUAGAUCAUUGCAAUUAUUGAUCUUGAACGAGGAAUUCCUAGUAAACGCGAGUCAUCAGCUCGCAUUGAUUACGUCCCUGCCCUUUGUACACACCGCCCGUCGCACCUACCGAUUGAAUGUUUCGGUGAAGAUUCCGGAUAGGACUUUUUUGAUUUAUUUCAAUUCUGUCUUAAAAGCUAUCUAAACCUCAACAUUUAGAGGAAGGUGAAGUCGUAACA